rnacentral:tRNA from 1 species
GGCCCCAUCGUCUAGCGGUUAGGACGUCGCCCUCUCACGGCGGUAGCAGGGGUUCGAGUCCCCUUGGGGCUACCA